rnacentral:rRNA from 1 species
GCUUUAAUAUAUAUUAGCUGUUGUUUGCCAAACAUUUUUGAUCCUGGAAGCUAAGCAAGGUGAAGCCUAGAUUCUACAUGGAUUGGAGACUGCCUGAGAGCACAAAGUGAUGUAGGCU